GUUCUUGAAUCGGGCUGUCUUCUCUUGUUUACUAUAUUUGGUGUUAAUAAUCAUGAUGAGUCAAGAUCAUGUUGGUAGUGACCAGACGCAAAUCAUAAAGGGUAAGCGUACGAAGCGACAGAGAUCAUCUUCGUCGACCUUUUUGGUGGCGGCCGCAGCGGCUACCACCAACACCUCUUCAAGCUCAUCAGCCGGGGAUGGCGGCGGAGGGAGAGCAGUUUCCGAUGAAUACAACUCGGCGGUUUCGUCUCCAGUGACCACAACUGAUUGUACUGAAGAAGAGGAAGACAUGGCGAUUUGUCUCAUCAUGCUUGCGCGCGGAGCGGCUCUUUCACCAGAUCUCAAGAAUUCGAGAAAAGCUGAUAAAACUCUUUCGUCGGCAGAGAAUUCGAGUUUCUUUGUCUACGAGUGUAAAACAUGUAGCCGGACGUUCUCGUCGUUCCAAGCUCUCGGUGGACACAGGGCGAGCCACAAGAAACCUAGAGUGUCGAUAGAGGCAAAGACUAAACUACCCCUGAUGCAGGCCAAGUCUAGUGGGUCAGAGGAAGGGCAAAAAUAUAAUUUCAAAGUGUUUGGUUCAUCCCUAGCUUCGCUGUCAAGUAACAUCAUCAUCAGCAAGGCAAACAAAGUACACGAGUGUUCGAUCUGCGGUUCAGAGUUCACUUCGGGACAAGCCCUCGGCGGCCACAUGAGGCGGCACAGGACAGCCACCACUGCGGUAAUACCGGUCGCUACCACAGAAGUUAGCAGAAACAGUACAGAAGAGGAGACUGAGAAUUUGAGCUCUUACAUUGAGCAGAGGAAAUAUUUACCGCUGGAUCUUAAUCUACCGGCACCAGAAGAUGAUCUAAGAGAGUCCAAGUUUCAAGGGAUUGUGUUCUCAACCACACCAGCGUUAAUAGAUUGUCAUUACUAGUUGUUUGUAGUUGAAUGUUUAGUUACAUGAUAAUAUAUUUGUGAAUUCUUCUUCUAUUACUAUAUUGUUGAACUGGAAUUAUUUCCAAAAAUUGAAUCAAAGUAUCAGUUGAUUUUUUUUAAUAGGAGGAAAAUGAAAUGUGCAAGUUAUAAUGAAAAAGAAGGAAUAAUAGUAGGAGUUAAGUAAAGGGUUGUGUGAUAGUUAGAUGAUCUACUUGUUGAAGUAAGAAUAGUUUGAGUAAGCAAGUGGUUUGUGUUCAUGGUUGCCUUUCAUUCACGAAAAGAAAGUGACUUCCAAGGCAUCUUUUCUUUCCCUCUUUUUAAGGUAUAUGUUAUUAUUCUUUUAAACAAAAAUACAAAUUAUGAGUUUUUUGUAACAUGUGAACCAAGCAUUGUAUUGCUUGUAGACGCCUCUUUCCCCCCACGAUUACGCAGCCAACGCUAUAUUGUGUUCUACUACUUCAAACAAAAUAUGUUAUGGCAUAAAAAUUUAUAGAAAAUCUAGAGAAAUAGAGGCAUAUAUAAAACAUUAUAAAAUACAUAUAAAGAACUUUGAAUGUUUUAUUUGAAAAUAAUAUUUAAUAAAUCUUAUUUUCAUUUGAUAUUUGAGUUUUAGGUACCAGAGUAUAAAAGAAGCACUUUAAAACAUACCAACUAUUUUUUUUUUUUUUGUAAAUAGUGAUGUCUCUUAUGACAUUAUGUAUAAGAAGCCCAACGCUAUAUUCCAUCUUUCCCAUUUCAUAAUUUUAUGGUAUAAAUAUAUUCAUAUGCUAAAUAGCAUUUGAAAUCAUAUUCUUAUGUUAGUCACCUAAUAUACAAAAGUAUUAUUCACCUAAUAUAAUCUGACAAAGUACAAAAUAAUCCUCAUUUUCGAGAUUCCAAAAUUAGUUUGAGAUUUUUCUCAAAAAAGAAAAAAGUUUGAAAAUCAAGUUAUGAUUAACUCAGUCACAAUAUUUAAAAGGGUAAUUAUUUAGUAAUGAAUAAAAAUAAUAAUGUCUCAUUUUGAAUUUGUGCUAUGAUGAACAAUACUAUUUUCCAGCUCCUUUUCAUAACAAGCAAUUUGUAAAUAAGCAUACAUAUAUAAUCCAUUUAUAUAAGUUGGUUAAAUAAUCAGGAAAAUGUUAUAUAUACACACAAUGAAUUUAAGAAACAGAAAGGUAGUGUGGACUGUGGACACGAGAUGGACGUGGUGACCGGCUUAGGUCGUGUAUUAGGUUCCCGGCCCUUUGGUUUUGGGUUGUUGGUCAUCACAUUUACAAUUUAUCAUAUAUGAAUCAUUUUAGUCAAUUAUAACGGACUAACAAUUAUUAUAACAUAACAGAAAGUAGAAAAGAAAAGAAAAACUAAUAAUUAGAAGUAAAAAAGAAAAUAAACAGUGACAGCAGAAACAGUCACAAGAUUCACUCACCGCUUCACUCCUUGCUUCCAAUGCUCCUCUAAUAAAUCUAUUAUUGCAGUUGCAUUUACGAUUCAACGUUAUUAUUGAAAUAGAAUGUAUUAACAUAUUCUUGUUCUCGCACGAUGUUAUUUUGUCGAUUAAACUAUCUUUCUACAAAUUUAUUUUACAGAUUAGUGAAAAACUUGUAGAGCUCCAAGCCUACAAUGUAUAGAAUAAAAUCUGAAUGUAGUUUCCUUCGCUUUCAUUCUCAAAAUCAGCAAGUGAAAGUCAUAUGUACAUAACUCUAUAAGCAAUAAAAAGAUGACCAAUAUACUAAGCCAAAAGAGACUAGAACAGUAAGUUUUUUUUUUUACAGUAGACUGAUAUAUUUGUUUUACCGAUCCAGGAGUCCUAUACAUCAAUAGUUCUUAAAGUGUACGAGUCAAGAACUUUUGUUAACCACGUUUGGUAAAACAUAUACUAAACAAGGGUAAUAAAAUUGAAACAUAUACCAAACAUGUAUUAGAGUUAUGUAUUGUUAGAAAUAGACUACAUCCAUCGACAAGCCCGCAACAAGGCCCAAAAAUGUAAUUGAACUCGGUAUAGUUAAGAAGAGAGGCGGUCGAGACGAUUCAAGUCGGCUUAAGAGAAAAAGAAAGAAAUCGGCGAGUUCAGCUAUAAAUGGGUGGAACUCGCAAAGAGAAGACAUUCACAAAAGCAUAAAGGCCGGCAUGAGAAUGAAGGUUUUCGUGGUUGCACCUUCUUCUUGAAGAAUUCAUAAUUCUCUUACAAUUUCAUUAUCAUUUUCUUUCAUUAUCUUUUUCCUUGUAAUUGAUAUUUGAUCUCUAAAAAAAAAAUCUUUCAUAUAAUCCACUAUAAAGUUAAUUGGCUUAAUAAACACAAAAGAAGAAAAAAAUAAUAAAAUAACUAUAUAAUAAAGUGGCUGGUCAAGUGACAAUUUUGCUAAAAGUGGAUCAUUUACUCCUUUUCCAUGGGUGACAGUGCAACAAACAUGAUGUGUACAUAACAAUUGAUUUAUUGUUACAUUAUAACGAAAAAUAUAACAAAUAUUUUCUUAUUUUUCUAUUCUAUAGGUCUCUAAUAGAAUAUAACAUGAAAAUUGUAAUAGUAAUUUCUUUUUUUGAUUAUUUUUAGUCACUAUCAGUGGAAAAAAAAUGUAUAUAUGAAAACAGUAAAAGAAGAAAAAUGAAACCACCACAAAAAAAUAAAUGGAUGAGAAAAAACAGGUAGUGGGAUAAGGUGGGAAGACGAUGGGUGACCAUAGUGAGGGAGUAGAAGACGGCGACGAAAGAGAAGGAGGAAGGGAAGGAAAGAGAGAAGGAGGAGAAAGAUGAUGAGAAGAAGAAAGAAGAGGACGGAGAAGGAAAGUAAAAAAAGAAAAAAAAAGAGGAGGAAAAAAGGAUGAAGAAGAAGAAAAUUGUUGAGAAUGAGAAAGGGUAAGAAGAGAAAAAGAAGAAUGAAAAUGAGAAUGUGUUUGAUUCUAAUUUAUAUUAUGUAGUGUAAAAUGUAUUGUAUAUAGUUUGAUGUUCACUUCCUCUUUACAAUGUGGUUGACAUAUAUUAUGUAAGAGAUACACUUGUUGUCGUCGAAAAUGACAUAAUUAACAAGACCUCAUAUACUAAAGCGCUAUCUAAACACAAACACCUUUUCAUUGUCAUAUUCACAUCCUCUUGAAGCACUCUAUUCUAUGUUCUGAAAAUAUAAUAGUAUAUACUGUUCAUCUUCUCCAGUUUUGAAUUCCGUCUUCACUGUUGCUUGUUGAAUCAUCAAAUCUCUAACCACUAGCAUGCUCGCGUGAUUCACCUCAAGCUCUAGAUCCAUUAAUGCUGACAUCAGCCUUACCGUUGGGCGUUGGACUUGCUUGAUUAUCCUCUAAUCUUUGUAUCCCAACCAAUAAUCUUCACUGCGAUCUUUAUCUCCACUGGUCUGAUCACCAUUAUCGAGAAUGAUAACGAUAGCUUUCUACCAGUGCUCACUUUUAUUAUGGUAUUCCGGCAACCUCUGUAUUUCUAAAGAGUAUUUUGAUAUGCUAUUUUUGCCUGUUUUUUCAGAUUUUUUUUCUUUCUAUCAGUCUGAAUAGGAUAAAAAAGUUAUAAAAUUUCUUACAAAUGACACAAGGGAUAGCUAGAUCCGAACCACCAUUUAAAUUGCAUGGGCUGAAACCUAAGAUCAAACUGGCCAAAUUAAUGGAGUCCACAAAAAACAUAGUUAUAUUGAUAAACUUACCUUUUUAAAUUACCUAAAAGUAUUGUAUUCUUUUUUUUAAUGAAAAGUAUUGUAUUUUUAGUAGGGUUUAUGAACAAUUACGUAAACAACAUUUCACUAUAAUAAAUUGAUCUAAUAUCCAUUACUGGAACAUAAAAAAUGAAAAACCAGAAAAUCAGUGUAAACUUUUUGAAAACAAAUUUGUAAUAUAUUCGGAAAUGGAAUCAAAGCAGCAAAAUUGGAAAAGCUGCCAAGUCAGGAAAAUUAACAAUUACGUAAAAUAUAGAUUUCGCUAUAAUAGUGAUAAUUCCAUUAACAGAAACGUAAAAAAUGAAAAACCAGAAACCAGAAUAAGGUCUUAGAAUUUUUUUUUGUUCGUCGACCUUUUUGGUGGCGGCCGCAGCGGCUACCACCAACACCUCUUCAAGCUCAUCAGCCGGGGAUGGCGGCGGAGGGAGAGCAGUUUCCGAUGAAUACAACUCGGCGGUUUCGUCUCCAGUGACCACAACUGAUUGUACUGAAGAAGAGGAAGACAUGGCGAUUUGUCUCAUCAUGCUUGCGCGCGGAGCGGCUCUUUCACCAGAUCUCAAGAAUUCGAGAAAAGCUGAUAAAACUCUUUCGUCGGCAGAGAAUUCGAGUUUCUUUGUCUACGAGUGUAAAACAUGUAGCCGGACGUUCUCGUCGUUCCAAGCUCUCGGUGGACACAGGGCGAGCCACAAGAAACCUAGAGUGUCGAUAGAGGCAAAGACUAAACUACCCCUGAUGCAGGCCAAGUCUAGUGGGUCAGAGGAAGGGCAAAAAAAUAAUUUCAAAGUGUUUGGUUCAUCCCUAGCUUCGCUGUCAAGUAACAUCAUCAUCAGCAAGGCAAACAAAGUACACGAGUGUUCGAUCUGCGGUUCAGAGUUCACUUCGGGACAAGCCCUCGGCGGCCAUAUGAGGCGGCACAGGACAGCCACCUCUGCGGUAAUACCGGUCGCUACCACAGAAGUUAGCAGAAACAGUACAGAAGAGGAGACUGAGAAUUUGAGCUCUUACAUUGAGCAAAGGAAAUAUUUACCGCUGGAUCUUAAUCUACCGGCACCAGAAGAUGAUCUAAGAGAGUCCAAGUUUCAAGGGAUUGUGUUCUCAACCACACCAGCGUUAAUAGAUUGUCAUUACUAGUUGUUUGUAGUUGAAUGUUUAGUUACAUGAUAAUAUAUUUGUGAAUUCUUCUUCUAUUACUAUAUUGUUGAACUGGAAUUAUUUCCAAAAAUUUAAUCAAAGUAUCAGUUGUUUUUUUUUAAUAGGAGGAAAAUGAAAUGUACAAGUUAUAAUGAAAAAGAAGGAAUAAUAGUAGGAGUUAAGUAAAGGGUUGUGUGAUAGUUAGAUGAUCUACUUGUUGAAGUAAGAAUAGUUUGAGUAAGCAAGUGGUUUGUGUUCAUGGUUGCCUUUCAUUCACGAAAAGCAAGUGACUUCCAAGGCAUCUUUUCUUUCCCUCUUUUUAAGGUAUAUUUUAUUAUUCUUUUAAACAAAAUACAAAAUAUGAGUUUUUUGUAACAUGUGAACCAAGCAUUGUAUUGCUUGUAGACGCCUCUUUCCACCCACGAUUACGCAGCCAACGCUAUAUUGUGUUCUACUACUUCAAACAAAAUAUGUUAUGGCAUAAAAAUUUAUAGAAAAUCUAGAGAAAUAGAGGCAUAUAUAAAACAUUAUAAAAUACAUAUAAAGAACUUUGAAUGUUUUAUUUGAAAAUAAUAUUUAAUAAAUCUUAUUUUCAUUUGAUAUUUGAGUUUUAGGUACCAGAGUAUAAAAGAAGCACUUUAAAACAUACCAACUAUUUUUUUUUUUUUUGUAAAUAGUGAUGUCUCUUAUGACAUUAUGUAUAAGAAGCCCAACGCUAUAUUCCAUCUUUCCCAUUUCAUAAUUUUAUGGUAUAAAUAUAUUCAUAUGCUAAAUAGCAUUUGAAAUCAUAUUCUUAUGUUAGUCACCUAAUAUACAAAAGUAUUAUUCACCUAAUAUAAUCUGACAAAGUACAAAAUAAUCCUCAUUUUCGAGAUUCCAAAAUUAGUUUGAGAUUUUUCUCAAAAAAGAAAAAAGUUUGAAAAUCAAGUUAUGAUUAACUCAGUCACAAUAUUUAAAAGGGUAAUUAUUUAGUAAUGAAUAAAAAUAAUAAUGUCUCAUUUUGAAUUUGUGCUAUGAUGAACAAUACUAUUUUCCAGCUCCUUUUCAUAACAAGCAAUUUGUAAAUAAGCAUACAUAUAUAAUCCAUUUAUAUAAGUUGGUUAAAUAAUCAGGAAAAUGUUAUAUAUACACACAAUGAAUUUAAGAAACAGAAAGGUAGUGUGGACUGUGGACACGAGAUGGACGUGGUGACCGGCUUAGGUCGUGUAUUAGGUUCCCGGCCCUUUGGUUUUGGGUUGUUGGUCAUCACAUUUACAAUUUAUCAUAUAUGAAUCAUUUUAGUCAAUUAUAACGGACUAACAAUUAUUAUAACAUAACAGAAAGUAGAAAAGAAAAGAAAAACUAAUAAUUAGAAGUAAAAAAGAAAAUAAACAGUGACAGCAGAAACAGUCACAAGAUUCACUCACCGCUUCACUCCUUGCUUCCAAUGCUCCUCUAAUAAAUCUAUUAUUGCAGUUGCAUUUACGAUUCAACGUUAUUAUUGAAAUAGAAUGUAUUAACAUAUUCUUGUUCUCGCACGAUGUUAUUUUGUCGAUUAAACUAUCUUUCUACAAAUUUAUUUUACAGAUUAGUGAAAAACUUGUAGAGCUCCAAGCCUACAAUGUAUAGAAUAAAAUCUGAAUGUAGUUUCCUUCGCUUUCAUUCUCAAAAUCAGCAAGUGAAAGUCAUAUGUACAUAACUCUAUAAGCAAUAAAAAGAUGACCAAUAUACUAAGCCAAAAGAGACUAGAACAGUAAGUUUUUUUUUUUACAGUAGACUGAUAUAUUUGUUUUACCGAUCCAGGAGUCCUAUACAUCAAUAGUUCUUAAAGUGUACGAGUCAAGAACUUUUGUUAACCACGUUUGGUAAAACAUAUACUAAACAAGGGUAAUAAAAUUGAAACAUAUACCAAACAUGUAUUAGAGUUAUGUAUUGUUAGAAAUAGACUACAUCCAUCGACAAGCCCGCAACAAGGCCCAAAAAUGUAAUUGAACUCGGUAUAGUUAAGAAGAGAGGCGGUCGAGACGAUUCAAGUCGGCUUAAGAGAAAAAGAAAGAAAUCGGCGAGUUCAGCUAUAAAUGGGUGGAACUCGCAAAGAGAAGACAUUCACAAAAGCAUAAAGGCCGGCAUGAGAAUGAAGGUUUUCGUGGUUGCACCUUCUUCUUGAAGAAUUCAUAAUUCUCUUACAAUUUCAUUAUCAUUUUCUUUCAUUAUCUUUUUCCUUGUAAUUGAUAUUUGAUCUCUAAAAAAAAAAUCUUUCAUAUAAUCCACUAUAAAGUUAAUUGGCUUAAUAAACACAAAAGAAGAAAAAAAUAAUAAAAUAACUAUAUAAUAAAGUGGCUGGUCAAGUGACAAUUUUGCUAAAAGUGGAUCAUUUACUCCUUUUCCAUGGGUGACAGUGCAACAAACAUGAUGUGUACAUAACAAUUGAUUUAUUGUUACAUUAUAACGAAAAAUAUAACAAAUAUUUUCUUAUUUUUCUAUUCUAUAGGUCUCUAAUAGAAUAUAACAUGAAAAUUGUAAUAGUAAUUUCUUUUUUUGAUUAUUUUUAGUCACUAUCAGUGGAAAAAAAAUGUAUAUAUGAAAACAGUAAAAGAAGAAAAAUGAAACCACCACAAAAAAAUAAAUGGAUGAGAAAAAACAGGUAGUGGGAUAAGGUGGGAAGACGAUGGGUGACCAUAGUGAGGGAGUAGAAGACGGCGACGAAAGAGAAGGAGGAAGGGAAGGAAAGAGAGAAGGAGGAGAAAGAUGAUGAGAAGAAGAAAGAAGAGGACGGAGAAGGAAAGUAAAAAAAGAAAAAAAAAGAGGAGGAAAAAAGGAUGAAGAAGAAGAAAAUUGUUGAGAAUGAGAAAGGGUAAGAAGAGAAAAAGAAGAAUGAAAAUGAGAAUGUGUUUGAUUCUAAUUUAUAUUAUGUAGUGUAAAAUGUAUUGUAUAUAGUUUGAUGUUCACUUCCUCUUUACAAUGUGGUUGACAUAUAUUAUGUAAGAGAUACACUUGUUGUCGUCGAAAAUGACAUAAUUAACAAGACCUCAUAUACUAAAGCGCUAUCUAAACACAAACACCUUUUCAUUGUCAUAUUCACAUCCUCUUGAAGCACUCUAUUCUAUGUUCUGAAAAUAUAAUAGUAUAUACUGUUCAUCUUCUCCAGUUUUGAAUUCCGUCUUCACUGUUGCUUGUUGAAUCAUCAAAUCUCUAACCACUAGCAUGCUCGCGUGAUUCACCUCAAGCUCUAGAUCCAUUAAUGCUGACAUCAGCCUUACCGUUGGGCGUUGGACUUGCUUGAUUAUCCUCUAAUCUUUGUAUCCCAACCAAUAAUCUUCACUGCGAUCUUUAUCUCCACUGGUCUGAUCACCAUUAUCGAGAAUGAUAACGAUAGCUUUCUACCAGUGCUCACUUUUAUUAUGGUAUUCCGGCAACCUCUGUAUUUCUAAAGAGUAUUUUGAUAUGCUAUUUUUGCCUGUUUUUUCAGAUUUUUUUUCUUUCUAUCAGUCUGAAUAGGAUAAAAAAGUUAUAAAAUUUCUUACAAAUGACACAAGGGAUAGCUAGAUCCGAACCACCAUUUAAAUUGCAUGGGCUGAAACCUAAGAUCAAACUGGCCAAAUUAAUGGAGUCCACAAAAAACAUAGUUAUAUUGAUAAACUUACCUUUUUAAAUUACCUAAAAGUAUUGUAUUCUUUUUUUUAAUGAAAAGUAUUGUAUUUUUAGUAGGGUUUAUGAACAAUUACGUAAACAACAUUUCACUAUAAUAAAUUGAUCUAAUAUCCAUUACUGGAACAUAAAAAAUGAAAAACCAGAAAAUCAGUGUAAACUUUUUGAAAACAAAUUUGUAAUAUAUUCGGAAAUGGAAUCAAAGCAGCAAAAUUGGAAAAGCUGCCAAGUCAGGAAAAUUAACAAUUACGUAAAAUAUAGAUUUCGCUAUAAUAGUGAUAAUUCCAUUAACAGAAACGUAAAAAAUGAAAAACCAGAAACCAGAAUAAGGUCUUAGAAUUUUUUUUUGUAAAAUAUUCAAAAAUGGAAAUAAUAAAAAUGGAAGAAAUAAAAUUGACAAAUCAGGAAAAGUAACUGAUUCGAGAAAAAGUUCAUAAUGUAUAAAUAUGUGCAUGAAUGAUCAAGUUGCAUUGUGUCUCAAAACCAAAAGUAUUAUUCAGUCACCAUGUCUUUUGCAACCAGAAUGAUGAGCAUGACCCUCUCUCUUCAAAUCCUUACAGCUUUUCUCUUUAUUACCGCCACAGCAUCAUCACCACCCCCCAGCGGCUUCACCAUGGACCUAAUCCAACGUCGCACUAAUUCACCUUCUACUCAACACUCCAAUACUGAUGAUCAGCUCCGAUCAUCUCCUUACGCCGACGUCGUCUUUGAUAACUACGAGUAUCUUAUGAAACUCCAAAUCGGUACACCUCCUGUCGAGAUCGAAGCAAUCGUAGACACAGGAAGCGAUGUCAUAUGGACACAAUGCUUGCCUUGUCUUAACUGCUUCAACCAAAGCAAUCCAAUAUUCGACCCUUCGAAGUCCUCGACCUACAAAGAGAAACAAUGCAAUACCCCUAAUGACCCCUCUUGUGAUUAUGAGUUGACAUACGCAGACCAAAGCUACUCCAAAGGAAGUUUCGCAUCCGAGACUGUCACCAUCAAAUCCACUUCUGGCCAAUCCUAUGUAAUGCCUGAAACAGUUAUUGGAUGUUCACACAACAGCUCGGGGUUUCGAACAACCGGUUCUGGCAUUGUUGGUCUAAGUUGGGAUCGUUCAUCACUCAUCUCUCAGAUGGGCAAAAACAUGCACGGUGCCUUUUCUUACUGCUUAUCCCCUGGGGGAGCUAGUAAGAUCAACUUUGGAAGUAAUGCUAUUGUGUCAGGGAAUGGGACUGUAUCAACACCUAUGUUUCUGAAACCCGAUUUCGGUUUCUAUCACCUAAACCUAGACGCGGUCAGCGUUGGGGAAACUCGCGUUGAAACACUGGGGACACCGUUUCACGCAGUAGACGGUAACAUGAUCAUAGACUCUGGAUCAACUGCAUGCUCCUUGCCCACGAGUUACUGUAGCCUAGUGUGGGAGGCAGUGGAAAAGUUUGUUACAGCGGAACGAGUAACUUCCGCGGACGGCUUGCUUUGCUACAAAACGAACACCAUGGAUGUCUUUCCAGUGAUCACAAUGCAUUUCUCUGGAGGUGCAGAUCUUGUUUUGGAUAAACACAAUACAUAUAUUUCUAAUGGACAUGCCAUUUGUCUGCUUAUUCUGUGUAAAGAAGAAGCUCUUUUUGGUAAUACAGCGCAGAACAACUUCUUGGUUGGUUAUGAUCAUUCUUCACGACAGAUUUCUUUUAAACCCACCGAUUGUGAAGUUGCACAAGACAUACCAAGAGACUCAAUUUCUGCAGCAUUGGUUUUACAGUUUAACAUUAAGUUUGUUUUAUUUAUAUUUGUCCUUUCAUUAAUUAGACUAUAGAGAAUGGAUUUGUUUUAUUUAUUUAUGUCCUUUCAUUAAUAAAACGAUGGACAAUGGAUUUGUUUUAAACAUCAAUAUGCGAAUGAAUUGUUGAGUCGCACUCUUAAACGAAUAAUAAUUGACUGCUUCAUCAUGACAUGUAUAUCUCCAAGAACUCCAUCACUUUUUCUCACCUUCUCCACUGAUGAUACGUAGGAAGAUACUCAGCAGUGUAAUAUUGUUUUUUUUUUUUGAGAAAUCAGUGUAAUAUUGUUUCUUGAUUAUUCUUUGGUGUCCCAUCUCCUUACGUUAUUUUCACAACUUUCGACCCUAUUUUACUCAAACUUAAAAUGAUUAUUCUCCAAGAAAAAUAUGUUCUACAAGAAUUUUGAUGAAUACCGACAUAUUACUUUGGUAGAUAUGGUAAAAUAAUAUGAAGCAAAUAAAGAUGUUAUGGAUUAGUCAAGUUUUUUUUAAUUACUUUUUAUAUAUAUUUCCCUAACCUCAAUACAGAUCAUUACGCAUGAAGAAAAACAGAGGCAGAAAAAGAUACAGUCACAGUGAGAAGGCAAGCCAUAGAUGAAACAAUAAGAUAACGAUUAGGAAAGAUGAGUAAGGUUGGAAAUAUUUGAACCAUGUGAUCAGAUGUGAUUCUGAGCUUGGAAAAUGAGCUGUCCUCUUAAAAAAUCCCCAUGUCUCUGCGAUCUCUUCCAAAAUAGUUUAGCACGUAUAACAAGUUAAAAUUUCUUUGACCAAAAUCUAUGUCGGUUUUCUCACAAAAUUAUGCAAUCUAGAGUUCCUCUCUCACAGAAUUAUGCAAUCUAGAUUUUAAAUGGAUUAUACCUAUAAAGACAUAGAAAGUACCUACUCAAACAUAAUGUAGUAAACAUAAACAAUGUGACCGUACGGAGCAUCUUAGUAUCCAAUGUAAACAUAGAAAAUGCCUGCUCCUGAGAGCAUGGCCAACAUGUAAUAUCUUGGGAAGGAGUUUCUAGUUGUUCAAUAUUAUUACAAUGUGAUAAUGAAUGCAUUUCAUGAGACUUCUUAGAUAAUUUAUUUCCAGCUCGAUUCCUUUCUCUUUCUCUGUUUGUAAAGUCUUCAUCAUGCAUUCGUGAUUUCGCCUCUCGUGGGGGCUAGCAAUGUGAUCUGCAGUGGAACAUGCACUGAGAUUAGGAUUCACCAAGAUUAUCCUCAAUUCAGAUUCGAAACAACUUGUAGGAGCAAUCAACGGCUCACUCACUUUGUCUGAUCUUCAUGGAAUUUGUUCUGAUAUCCAUCUUUUGUGGAAAAACUUUGAUCCGGUUCUGUUUAGCUUCUGCCACCGUGGUUCUCUUUCUUUUGAGGAUGGCUUGGCUACACAGUCUUUAAACUAUUUUUUAUCAGAAGCCCAUUAAGAAAUGAAGUUGUUGUUGCACAAAAAAAAACCCUAAAAGUUUUGUAUUUUUAUAAGGGUUUAUGACCAAUUACGUAAAAACAUUUCACUAUAAUAAAGUGAUAAUAUCCAUUACUGGAACGUCAAAAAAUGGAAAACCAGAAAGUCAAUGUAAGCUUUUAAGAAAAAUUGUAAUAUAUUCGGAAAUGGAAUCAAAUCAGCAAAAAUUGGAAAAGUUGUCAAGUUAGGACAGUUAACAAUUACGUAAAAUAUACAUUUAGCUAUAAUAGUGAUAAUUCCAUAAAUAGAACGUAAAAAAACUAGAAAACCAUAGUAAACUCUUAGUAACAAAAUUGUUAAAAUAUUCAAAAAUGGAAAUAACAAAAUUGGGAAAAUGACAAAUAAGGAGAAUUAACAAUUACGGCUAAAGUCCACAUACUGUAUAAAUAUGUGCAUGGAUGAUCAAGAAGUUGCAUUGUCUCUCAAAACCUAAAAACUAUUACUCGAUCACCAUGUCUUUCGCAACCAGAAUGAUGACCAUUAUACUCUCUCUUCAAAUCAUUACAGCUUUUCUCUUUAUUACCGCCACAGCCUCAUCACCUCCCAGCGGCUUCACCAUGGACCUAAUCCACCGUCGCACUAAUUCAUCUUCUUCUCGACGCUCUAAUGUUGAUGGUCAACUCCGAUCAUCUCCUUACGCCGACGUCUUCUUUGAAACGUCCGAGUAUCUUAUGAAACUCAAAAUCGGUACACCUCCUGUCGAGAUCGACGCAGUCUUAGACACAGGAAGCGAGAUCAUAUGGACACAAUGUCUGCCUUGUCUUAACUGCUACAACCAACGCAAUAUAAUAUUCGACCCUUCGAAAUCCUCGACCUACAAAGCGAGAACAUGCAAUACCCGUAACCCUUCUUGUAACUAUAAUUUGGUCUACGGAGACCAAAGCUACACCAUAGGAAGCUUAGCAACCGAGACCGUCACCAUCCAAUCCACUUCUGGCCACUCCUAUGUAAUGCCUAAAACCGUUAUUGGAUGUUCGCACAACAGCUCAGGGUUUGUAACAACCGCUUCGGGCAUUGUUGGUCUAAGUUGGAUGUCUUUAUCUCUCAUCUCUCAGAUGGGUAAAGACAUGCUCGGUGCCUUUUCUUACUGCUUUUCGCCUGAGGGAACUAGUAAGAUCAGCUUUGGAAGUAAUGCUAUUGUGUCGGGAGAUGGGACUGUAUCAACACCUAUGUUUACGAAGACGGAGAAACCUGGUUUCUAUUACCUAAACCUAGACGCCGUCAGCGUUGGGGAGGCUCGCGUUGAAACAUUGGGGACUCCGUUUCAAGCCGUAGACGGGAACAUGUUGAUAGACUCUGGAACCACCUUCACCUACUUGCCCGCUAGCUACUGCAGCCUAGUGAGGGAGUCGGUGGAAAAGGUUGUGACUGCGGAACUAUUUACUACCUCCGACGGCACGCAUUGCUACAAAACGAAGACGAUGGAUAUCUUCCCAGUGAUCACAAUGCAUUUCUCUGCGGGUGCAGAUCUUGUUUUGGAUAGAAACAAUACUUAUAUGGCUAACGGAGAAACCAUUUGUCUGAUGAUUAUGUGUAGUCCAAUGACACCAGUUGCUGAAGCGGCCGUUUUUGGUAACAGAGCACAGAACAACUUCUUGGUUGGUUAUGAUCGUUCUUCAUUACAGUUUUCGUUUAAACCCACCGAUUGUGGAGUUACAGAAGACAAAAAACCAAGAGACUCAACUUCUGCAGCAUCGUUUUCACAGUUUAACAUUAAGUUUGUUUUAUUUAUAGUUGUCCUUUCACUAAUAAGACUAUAGAGAAUGGGUUUGUUUUAUUUUUAUAUGUCCUUUCAUUAAUAAUACCCUAGAUAAUGGAUUUGUUUUAUUUAUAUUUAGUCGUUUCUAAUAAUACCAUAGAGAAUGGAUUUGUUUUAUUUAGUUUGUCCUUUCAUUAAUAAGACCAGAGAGAAUGGAUUUGUUUUAACCAGCAUCAAUAUGCGAAUGAGUAGUUGAGUCGCACUCAUAAACGAAUAACAUAUGACCUUUUAGACAUCUCCGCCAUAAGUUUUCUCGCCUUUUCCAUUGAUGAUGUAGGAAAAUACUCCAUCUGAACCGAUACACACAUCCUUAAGCUUACAUCCAACAACUCUAAAUCUAGACCACAAGAUACAAGGCAAUCCUCUAAAUGCAUAAUUAUUGUUCAAGAGUUCCUCAUCUAUGUUAAACAUUAUAAAUAGCAUGAAGAAUCAUCACCAAAUGCAAAUUAAUAACCCCAUAUAAUACCCUUUCGAUGACUGAUUACAAUACUAUGAUUGAGAUAAUAAGCGGCAUGAUUCCAGUAUACAACAAGUUCAUCUUCUAAAUUCUAAUGCAUAGACACUGUUCAAUGUUUGACUCUUUUAAGAUUAGCAUUUUAAAUAGCAUCACCAAAACAGCCCCAAGCAGUAUCAUCAUAGAUAUGAAGCAUCAGCAUUGUUAUUAAGGAACACUGGAAACAUAUAUUUUCGAGAUACUAUACUUGGUGAUGAUUACAUGCCUCCAACCUAUAUUGAUUGAUCAUCAUCGCUAAGAUAAACAGUAAUUUUAGCUUCAUACCUCCAAACUAUGCCUCCAACAUUCACAGAAUGAGUCGAGACGGAGCAACUGAAUGUGCGAUUUUUCCUUGGCCAGCAAAAGUAGAUGUUAAAGUAAAUUGUGAACUUAUCGAAUCUGAUCAUUAAUGUUUAUCAUCUUUCUGUGAGUCAAAUGUAGGUUUAGAUAGUAAGAUUAUUUGAUAAAAGGAUAGAUAUCAUGAAAGUGGACUGAUCUUGAUCUGUUGUUAGAGUUUGAUACUUAUUUGCUAAGUUCCUUGAAUAGUUGUUUGGUUCUUGAUAGUAAACCUCAUGGAUCAUCACCCUAGUUAGCUUCAUUUUAAUCUGAUGAGUGUACAGUUAGUAAUAGCUUUUUUUCUUUUUGGGUCAACUCAGUUAGUAGUAGUUAAGACAAUGCCCACAAGUUAAGAGAUAUGGGCAAGCGAGGCGGCUUUGUAUUUUUUUUUUCCCUUCUUUCUCUAAGAACAUUGGAAUAUUUCUCGAGCUAUUUACACUGAAACACACAAUUCUCAUCCUCAAUAACACAAAGACACACAUAAUACUGGUUGCACACUUUGUAUCAUGGAAAACGCCUACUAUAUCCUUAACUAGACACCAAACUAAUUCACAUCUCUUACAACUUAUCCUGUUUUCCCUUAUUAUUCUCGAAACCAAUGUCCCCUAAAACCAAAAAAAAUCCCCCAUUUUUUUCAUAUCUCUUCCAACUCGAUUAUCUUGUCCCCUCCACUUUCAAUCUCUGGCGAAGCUUCGUCCCCUCCACUUGCAAUUUCCAGCAAAGCUUCGUCCCCUCCACUUUUGAUCUCUAGAAAACAACCAUAUCAUUGUGAUUCCUCCUACAUCCUGACCUCCGAACCUCACCUUUUAAACCUUAGUUGUAAAAAUCUAUGUCGCUCUCUUCCCUCACCAUGACCGUAUGUAAAAGAUAUUCAAUCAUCCAAGUUUUUUGUUGUGCAAUUAAUUUAUGUAAUUUUAUUUCUCACAACCGAUUUUCCAGGUAAGACUAUUCUAAAUCCAGUCUCAUCUCUCUGUUAUCAGAAGUCUCGCCGAAUGAUAAGGAUUAUUUCUAAUCUAAGUAAAAUCAAUGUAGUAUUUAAGAGUCAAUCUAAUUCUAAACGAUUUCAAUCCAAAGAAAAUACAGAUUAAUGCAUAAUCUAAGUGCAAUCAGUGUGAUGAAGUGAUUUGAUUUAACUAACAAGACUCUAAGGAAAUAAAUUAACAAACUUUCAAGGAAUAGGAUAAAGGAAGACUCAUGGGUUUAAGAAUUUGACUUCAGAUGAUUAAAUUCCAGUCUAGAAUGACAAGGUAUCAAUCGACAUAUUUCCUUAAAUCUAGACAACGAGACUAAACAAUUUCUUUGUCAAGAUAAAUGUUCAUUUACUCUCAUUAAUCAAACAUCAAAUGUCUUUGGUUUGUGUCAUGCAAAUAAUCAUUAAGAGUGAGUCUAUUAACUAUCUAAGUUCUUCUAACAUCAAAUGUUUUUGGUUAAGCUAGCAAAGAGAAAAGUUGAGUUCGCUCAGACAUUUCAUCGAACACCUUCCGGGUAAUGAAAUGUCUAGAGUUCUAACCUAAAGAGGCCAACUCUAUACUAGCAUUAAGAUCAGUCAACAAACAAGGAAAUAGAUUAAUCUAACUCUAAACACUCUAGAUCUUCAUUUAAUCAUCCUAAUCACCAUAAUUCAUGAAUCCAAAGAUGACUACUCACUCAUUAUCAUGAUAGACAUUAAAUCAUUGGUUGAUUUAAGAUUAAACAUAAUUAAUGAUCAAAGUAAUCAAGAAAACACGAAAGGAUAUAGAUCAAGAUUAAAUCUUUAUCUCCAAAGUGGUUUUUGAUUUGAUAGAUAACAAGAUAAUACAAUGUAUUUAUAGUUGCUUAAAACACAAGGACAAAAUGGUAAAAUGCUCUGCUAUGGAUGAUGGCCGCGACCAUCUCUAGCCUGCAAAGUGAGCACGCAAAAUCAAGUACCUCGUUCGCGACCCACACAUCCCGCGGUAGCACCUCACAAAAUGGCCUGGUCGGAUUUGUCGUAACAUGGUCACGACCUGCCUUCACCCGCGAACGCCACCAGUGAUCUACCUCUUCACUUCGCGGCCUCCACUUCCUGCGAUUCACCAUGGUUGAAUCUCGACAUCUUGACGUAGAGCAAUUGCAUGCAUGCUCUGAUUGCGGCUGUGAACUGCGAUCACCGAGUACCAUCGCAGCCUCUUGUUGUCUGCGAAAGGAGCCUGCUACGGCACCAUCACAGCCACCGUGCCUCCUCCACGAUUCUCCACCGUGUCUUACGAAGCUAGCAUCCUCCGUCAUUGUCGUGGUCGAGCUCGAGCUCGUGUUCACCGUCGUCUCUUCCUCCUGUAGAGAAUCUUAAAACAAGAAAGAUUCAAGCUUUAUAAAGCCUUAUUGAUACAAAAUGAAAUAGCUUGUUAAAGCUUUAUUUAGUGCAAGAAAUUAAAGAGAAAAAAAAAAGCUUUAGACUUGUCUUCAAGAACACAAAGAUUCUAUUAAUAUCAUAAGAGUUUUGAAUGAAGCUGCUACAAUGGCAGCCAAGGUUACAACCAAAAAACAUCUAAAGACAUAUUUAUAUCAGUCUAGAAAUCCUAACACGUGAACUAUUGAGACUUCUUAAUGGAUCAUAAGUGGACCUUCAGUGUGGGCUUCAAUACCUCCACCACCACAAACUCUCACUUGUCUAAGCUCUCCACCGUAGCUCACAGCCGCAUAAGCUUUAAGCCUCGUCCCAAUCACAUGACUGAGCCUUAUUGAAACCCUAGGGUCACUGCUUAGCUCUACCGGUGACAAGGACCUCGCGACAAGCCGACACCAUCGGGAUCGAAGCAAAAAGGAACGACAAAGGUGAUCUUUAGCGUAUUUGAAAAUUUGGUCCUUCCACUUCUGGUUUUUUUAAAUUGGCCCCAAACUUUCUGAUUUGAAAACUUAACAUUGAAUUUCACCAUUAACUUCCAAUUGUGCAUUUUAGACCUUGUCAAAUGCAAUUAUGUAUGCAAAUACAAUUUAACACCUAAAUGCAACCUAGAAUGAUCAUAAUAAGCAUAAAUAUGAAUUUAAAACUCAUCAAAAUCAAGAGUAUCACCGAGAACGAGCUUCACGACCUGAACCUCCCCUCUAGGUUCUUUGCGACAUAUCAUUUCCCCAACAACAAGCUCAACAUCUAUUGCAAAUUAGACUUGUUAACAUUUCUCAACCGCACGCUCAAACACACUAUGGUGUUGUAGACCCUUUGACAGUCUUGCUUCAGGAAAGCUCUUCGAACUUCCUCUCGACACAGCUGCCAUCUCAUAUAACCUGAUAUACUCUCUCCUAACCAGAAAACUGAUAACAUAAAUUAAGUGUAUUAUGUGGGAAGUCUUUAGACAAAAUGCCAACCCAUCCACAUAUGUGUAUGGUUUUGUGGACAGUCUCCAAACCCAUCCAUAUUAUCCCAUCUGCUAAGAUAUAUAAAUUUAAAAGAAAUGCCAACCCAUCUAAUAUGCAGAAUCCACAAUAUCAAACGCUACUACUUCUCCACUACUACACUCCAUCCUAUGAAACAACUAUAAAACCUAUUGAAAUAAUCAACCUAAAUCAUAUCUAUUACCACAUUUAAAAACAUUCUAAGUGUGUAAAGUUUACCAUCAACAAACUUCUAAGAGACUACCAAUCACAUAUCCAUUUAAACCCAUCCACAACCUACCAUCAUCUCAUUGUUCGGAAAGCGCUACCCCAUCUACACAAAAUCAUCCACCAUCUCCUAACACAACCACAAAUCUUUUACCACUCUCCUCCAUAAAUACUUAUCUACCCCAUAACCAUCAAAUCCUUGCAAUCUACUCAAACCCUUUCAGUUAGCUAUUGAGUACCCUCCCGGCUAACCAUCUAAAUCGUAAACCAUGUGAUAAAAAAUUACAAAUAAUGUAUGAUCGAUUUAACCACACAACCAAUGAAAAUUACAUCCACCUAAGAAUCAACACAUUCACAUCCGCACUACUGCAUCCAAGCAUUUGGAUCCCCAUUUCGCAUCUACACAUUCGCAUCAUGGACUAAAUUCACAUCACAAAUUUUCUGUGUGUUUCACAGCUCCAUGAAAACAUAGGCGAAACCACUUAUCUUUUACACGAUCCUCAUUACCAACAACCAAAAGAACAACAAACAAACACAUACUUAACAUCAUCACUCCAAAAAAAAAACUGUACAUCCUCAUAAAACUCAAACACCUUAUUUUCCAGCCGUUAGAUUAGACUCCUUAAACCACAUAUCAGUAAGUUAGGUUAAUUCUAACUUUAUAUAUUGAGGCUCACAAAACUACAUUAACGUUUAUUUCAUCGUGCAAGGCACACAAACUACAGUAGAGACUCUAUAAAUUAAUACUCGAUAAAUUAAUAAAUACUAUAAGUCAACAAAUUCUUUUGGUCUCAAGUUGAUCUGGUUCAAAAUAUGACACAAAUCGCUAAAGUAAUAAGAUAAUAACUUGUUAGAAAUCCUAUGUAAAUAUAUGUUCGUCGACCUUUUUGGUGGCGGCCGCAGCGGCUACCACCAACACCUCUUCAAGCUCAUCAGCCGGGGAUGGCGGCGGAGGGAGAGCAGUUUCCGAUGAAUACAACUCGGCGGUUUCGUCUCCAGUGACCACAACUGAUUGUACUGAAGAAGAGGAAGACAUGGCGAUUUGUCUCAUCAUGCUUGCGCGCG
rnacentral:lncRNA from 1 species